rnacentral:rRNA from 1 species
AGUGAACGCUGGCGGUAGGCCUAACACAUGCAAGUCGAACGGCAGCACAGUAAGAGCUUGCUCUUACGGGUGGCGAGUGGCGGACGGGUGAGGAAUACAUCGGAAUCUACUUUUUCGUGGGGGAUAACGUAGGGAAACUUACGCUAAUACCGCAUACGACCUACGGGUGAAAGCAGGGGAUCUUCGGACCUUGCGCGAUUGGAUGAGCCGAUGUCGGAUUAGCUAGUUGGCGGGGUAAAGGCCCACCAAGGCGACGAUCCGUAGUUGGUCUGAGAGGAUGAUCAGCCACACUGGAACUGAGACACGGUCCAGACUCCUACGGGAGGCAGCAGUGGGGAAUAUUGGACAAUGGGCGCAAGCCUGAUCCAGCCAUACCGCGUGGGUGAAGAAGGCCUUCGGGUUGUAAAGCCCUUUUGUUGGGAAAGAAAAGCAGCAGGUUAAUACCCCGCUGUUCUGACGGUACCCAAAGAAUAAGCACCGGCUAACUUCGUG